AUUACAUGCAUCUUGUAGGAGAGAUUUGUCAAAACUGAUACAAAGGAAAAAAAGUGGAUCAAAAGAUGAACUGAAAAAGUAUAUUUCAGAAUAGAAUUUGUCAUUAAGAAAAGAAUUACUACACAGUCUAAGGCAUUGAUAAAGCAAAACUGUAUCCUUUGAAGAGCAGCACGAUUCUGUCACAGAUGAUGGCAAGAUCAAGGUAAAUAUAUCCUCCAUGAUACAUCUGUUGACUGCUGCACAUUGGGAGGCUGCAGCAUACGUUUACAGAGGGCUGUUUAUUUAUACUGCAUGAAAGAAGAGCUAGAUGAAGAAGCACACACCUUCAGGCAAACUGAACCUACAUCGCCUGCUGACUACAAUAUAAAGGGCAGAGCCAUGGUCAAGAUAAAAGGAAGCUCAGUUAGGUGCAGAAUAGCUGGCCUACCAACUCUGAUCAUUUCUUUCUGCAUCAUAAGAUGAAGAAAAGCAAUGGACCCCCAGAGACGUUGCCCAUGAUAGAGUUGGGAAACAGGAUUGGUGGGAGGUAAUGACAAAGCUAUGGAGAGGUCAACAGGUUACUUAAUCAUAGGCCAAACCUUUUCAUUCUUUAGAUCUGAUUGUUUUGGCUUGUAGUAUUUUCAGGGAAUCCAGCAUAGCGUGAAAUAUGUCAAGGAGAGAAAAAAGGCACAAUUUUAUAUGUGAAGUAUCCAUUAAAUUAGGAGACAACAGAUGUCUAGUAUUGUCUCACAUUGUGCUCUCAA